GUGAGAUCCCUGAGUUUAGGGUGCAGUGUAUUUAUUGUGGUUACAGCAAGCUUGGGGAAUUUCCAUACAAGCUAGCAAGUUAAUAUUUUAAAAACUGCAUCUCUGGAAUAAUCUGCAGGAACCAAAUAUGAUGGAGAAACCACCUGACAAACUGGAUGAUCAGGAAGCCUUCUGAUCCGGAAUUUGAUUUCCUGUGUAGUUCUAUCUACCAGAAGGGAUGUGCAGACAGUUGGCCUAGCUCCUGGACCAAGCAUGCCUCCAGUUUUACAUGAAUAAAUUGGCUUUUUGACAGAGUGAA